AUUGAACGCUGGCGGCAGGCUUAACACAUGCAAGUCGAACGAGUAGCGGACGGGUGAGUAAGGGAUGGGGAUCUGCGCGAUCGAGGGGGAUGAGUACUGGAAACGGUGGCUACUGCCGCUAACGGUGAGUUGGACCCAUAUGGGUUUAGCUUGUAGGUGAGGUAACGGCUCACCUAGGCGACGAGCCCUCGCAGGUCUGAGAGGCUUAUCAGCCACACUGGGACGGAGACACGGCCCAGACUCCUACGGGAGGCAGCAGUGGGGAAUAUUGCACAAUGGGCGAAAGUCUGAUGCAGCCAUGCCGCGUGAAUGAAGAAGGCUUUCGGGUUGUAAAGUACUUUCAGUCGGGAGGCGGUACCUACAGAAAAAGCCCCGGCUAACUCCGUGCCAGCAGCCGCGGUAAUAC
rnacentral:rRNA from 1 species